CACGUAGGCACCAAGCGUUAUCCGGAUUUAUUGGGCGUAAAGAGCUCGUAGGCGGUGUGUCACGUCGGCCGUGAAAACCUGCAGCUUAACUGUGGGCGUGCGGUCGAUACGGGCAUCACUGGAGUUCGGCAGGGGAGACUGGAAUUCCUGGUGUAGCGGUGAAAUGCGCAGAUAUCAGGAGGAACACCGGUGGCGAAGGCGGGUCUCUGGGCCGAUACUGACGCUGAGGAGCGAAAGCGUGGGGAGCAAACAGG
rnacentral:rRNA from 1 species